rnacentral:lncRNA from 1 species
UUGGGUUUAGCUCUAAAAUGGCUCAGACUUAGCUGUAAAUCGGAUCAAAGUUGGCUUAACUCGUCUUCUUCGGACAUAUCUCCAAACUUGUGCAAAAAAACGGAAUGAGCUUAUUAUNNNNNNNNNNNNNNNNNNNNNNNNNNNNNNNNNNNNNNNNNNNNNNNNNNNNNNNNNNNNNNNNNNNNNNNUUAGUUUUUAAGCGUCUAAGUUCGGAUCAAUUGCCAAGAAAUUUUAAAGUUUUGGGCCUAAUGAUAAGUUUGGUCCACUUCCAAUUUAAUGAAAUAGAAAUACAAAUAAAAGAAACUUGAAUUAAAAUAACAAUAUAAUUUUAUAACAAUUUAAAUUAAAUGUUGAUUCUUUAUUUAACAAGUGAGGAUAGAAAACGUGUGAUUACAAAAUGAAGAUGGAAAAGAAGUUAAUUCAAUUAUGCAUCAAGUGUAUAUUAUGUUUAUUUUUUACAUAUCAAAUAACUACUAUAUAAAAAUCAAAUGGAGAGAAUUAAUUUUGUAACACCAAUAUCCGAUAGAACAAACAUAAAAGAUGAAAUAAACAUGGCAACAAAAUUUUACAUCCUAAUAUAAAAUACAAAAGCUGUAUAUCGAGAUAUUAGAAAGAGAUAACUUAUACAAAAACUAACAUAUAAUAAUUUCAAUUUUCUCUUUAAUUUUUAUUUUUUCUUAAUUAUGACCAAAUUUUCAUUUUAGACAAAAACAUGAAGCACCCACCUCCAAUUUUGUACUUUAACGAAACACAAAAUUAAAAAAGAAAACGAUAGAAACAAAGAGAUUAUGUUCGUAGUUUUUGCUUUAGAAAGAUGAUUUCAGAUGGAGACAAUUGAUUGAAACAUGUGGUCUUGCGGAAGCAGAAGAGAAAUAGAUCACGAAGUAAAUAUUAUGAUUUUAGAUAGAGAAAAUACUUUGAAGAAGAGAAGGGAAGAUGAUUUCAAAUGGAGACGAGAAAUAGAGAAGCAGAUCGCGAUCGUGGAGCUUGCAAAAGUGGUUGGUCGAGUUGCUACGUGAAGGGAGGAAAAUUCGGAGAGAAAUUAGUUUUUAAGGGUAAAAUAAAAAUUAAUAAAAUUUAAUGAGGGUAUAAAUAGAACAAAAAUAUGAGACCAUAAAAAACUAUUAGUUUUAAAAAUUAGCCCAAAAUUUAUUUUUCGGAUAUCAUGAAACACUCUCAAAUAACAAUACCAUUAGAAAACAAAUAGGAUUUCACCAUCCCAACACCAUACCCUACAUUAAUUAACUACUAAAUACCACCAUCCAAACAUAGCAUUAAUUUCAAUUUUCCAUCUAGUUAUUAUUUUUUCUUAAUUAUGACCAAAUUUUCGUUGCAUAAACAAUAUGGAGCACCCACCUCCUUUUUUAUACUUUAACAAAACACAAAAUUAACAAAGAAAACGAUAGAAAUAGAGAGAUUAUGUUCACCUUUUUUCAUCUUAGAAGAUGAUUUCAGAUGAAGACAAUUGAUUGAAACGUGUGGUCUUGCGAAAGCAGAAGAGAAACAGAUCGCGAAGUAAAUAUUAUGAUUUAAGAUGAUUUUAGAUGGAGAAAAUACUUUGAAGAAGAGAAAAGAAGAUGAUUUCAGAUGGAGACGAGAAAAAAAGAAGCAGAUCGCAAUCGUGGAGCUUGCGGAAGUGGCUGGUCGGGUUGCUAUGUGAAGGAAGGAAAAUUUGGAAAAAAAUGAGGGUUUUUAAAGGUAAAACAAGUAUUAACAAAAUUUAAUGAGGGUAUGAUUGGAACAAAAAUAUGAGCCCAUCAAAAACCACUGAAAGUUUUAAAAAUUCGUCCAAAAUUUGUCUUUUUGAUACCAUGAAAUACCAUCAAGUAACCAUACUAUCAAUAAACAAACAGGAUUUCACCAUACCAACAGAAUACCUUACAUUAAUUAACCAUUAAAUACCACCAUCCAAAUAUAUUAAUUUCAAUUUUCCCUCUAAUUAUUAUUUUUUCUUAAUUAUGACUAAAUUUCCAUUGCAAACAAAAACAUGGAGCACCCAUCUCCCAUUUUGUACUUUAACGAAACACAAAAUUAAAAAAGAAAAUGAUAGAAAUAAAGAGAUUGUGUUUACCUUUUUUUCUCUGGGAAGAUGAUUUUAGAUGGAGACGAUCAAUUGAAAUGUGUGGUGUUGCGGACGUGGAAGAGCAGAUCGCGAAGGGAAGAUGAUGAUUUUAGAUGGAGACGAUCGAUUGAAACGUGUGGUCUUGCGGAAGUGGAAGAGAAGUAGAUCAUAAAAAGAAAAUGAUGAUUUUAGAUGGAGAAAAUGCUUUAAAGAAGAGAGGGG